rnacentral:rRNA from 1 species
GGAAUCUUCCACAAUGGACGCAAGUCUGAUGGAGCAACGCCGCGUGAGUGAAGAAGGGUUUCGGCUCGUAAAGCUCUGUUGUUAAAGAAGAACGUGGGUAAGAGUAACUGUUUACCCAGUGACGGUAUUUAACCAGAAAGCCACGGCUAACUACUUGCAAG